GAUGAAGAACGUAGCGAAAUGCGAUAAGUAAUGUGAAUUGCAGAAUUCAGUGAAUCAUCGAAUCUUUGAACGCACAUUGCGCCCAUUAGUAUUCUGGCGGGCAUGCCUGUUCGAGCGUCAUUACAACCCUCAGGCCCCCGGGCCUGGCGUUGGGGAUCGGCGGAGCCCCCCGUGGGCACACGCCGUCCCCCAAAUACAGUGGCGGUCCCGCCGCAGCUUCCAUCGCGUAGUAGCUAACACCUCGCGACUGGAGAGCGGCGCGGCCACGCCGUAAAACACCCAACUCUUCUGAAGUUGACCUCGAAUCAGGUAGGAAUACCCGCUGAACUUAAGCAUAUCAAUAAGCGGAGGA
rnacentral:misc_RNA from 1 species